GUGUGCAGAGACACUGAGGUGGGGUGGAUCCAUGGAGGAGGCGUGCAGAGACACUGAGGUGGGUGGAUCCAUGGAGGAGGCAGAGACACUGAGGUGGGGUGGAUCCAUGGAGGAGGCAGAGACACUGAGGUGGUGUGGAUCCAUGGAGGAGGCAGAGACACUGAGGUGGGGUGGAUCCAUGGAGGAGGCAGAGACACUGAGGUGGGGUGGAUCCAUGGAGGAGGCAGAGACACUGAGGUGGGGUGGAUCCAUGGAGGAGGCAGAGACACUGAGGUGGGAUGGAUCCAUGGAGGAGGCAGAGACACUGAGGUGGGGUGGAUCCAUGGAGGAGGCAGAGACACUGAGGUGGGAUGGAUCCAUGGAGGAGGCAGAGACACUGAGGUGGGGUGGAUCCAUGGAGGAGGCAGAGACACCGAGGUGGGGUGGAUCCAUGGAGGAGGCAGAGACACUGAGGUGGAUCCAUGGAGGAGGCAGAGACACCGAGGUGGGGUGGAUCCAUGGAGGAGGCGUGCAGAGACACUGAGGUGGGUGGAUCCAUGGAGGAGGCGUGCAGAGACACUGAGGUGGGGUGGAUCCAUGGAGGAGGCAGAGACACCGAGGUGGGGUGGAUCCAUGGAGGAGGCAGAGACACUGAGGUGGAUCCAUGGAGGAGGCAGAGACACCGAGGUGGGGUGGAUCCAUGGAGGAGGCGUGCAGAG
ensembl:lncRNA